GGCCGGUAGAGGGAGACAUAGUAGUUGGGAGUGUGGCGUCGCUGCGCCAACAUUAUUAGAGUUUCCUCUCUAUGGAGGAAGAAGACUUUCUUUUGUUUUCUUUCUCUCUAUGCGAAAAGGAAGACUUUCGUUUGUUUUCUUUCUCUCGCUCAGAUUUCCUACCUCGUGGCGUCGCCACGAGGCGGCGUACCACGGUGGCGACAGUACGAACAAGUACGAGUUCGGCAUGUGGACCAAUGUGGACAAGCACGACUCGCGCGUCGAAAACAAUUUUCAAAUAUCGCGCUAGUCCGUAGUGACGUCUCCUUUUGUACUAACGCGUCGCGAUUGAUGUUAGUGUUUUGCGUCGAUUCGUGUGUCACGCUAGAUGUAAUAAAUGGUGUAUGUUCAUCAGUAAAGAUUCUUGUGAUGUGAGUAACCACACAGGAGGCCGGUUGUACCGAGAGGCCGGGAGGCUGAUAGGAUAGGUUGGGUUACGUAUAUCGAAGCCGGAAUCUCACACUGUUGCCAUUUUCGCCUCAAUACGGCUAGUACUAAAGUCGGUUGUGGCGUAGCCUUCGCUACCGCGGCCGUUCCAUCGGCAUACUCGCGCUCUGAUUGGUCAGUGUUUUCCGUUAAUAUCUCUUUAACAAAGCCUCGGACAAUAUUUUCGCUAAAGAAAGAGUUGUUUCAAAUCACCUCCUGAAACACCCCUUUCAAGGAGUUACAACAUUUUUGCGACACCCUGUAUAGCAGCUAUACUAUAUUCGUAUACUACGGACACCGGGCUGUGACGCCCCCAAAAAUCUGGCGCCCUGGGUGGUUGCUGCUCUCCCCCCCCCCCCCCCCCCAAUGCCGACCCUAAGAGUAGCAAAGUGGUGUGGUGACUGGCGAGGACUACUGGCGACCACUAUAUGGCUCAUAGCCUAAAAGCUCUUUCACACGACGAUACGCGUAUCGCAAUACGCGUAUGCGUAGAGUUUAACAAAUGCAUGGAUGACGAGAAUCUGAGAUGUGAAGAAGAGUGUUUGGACCGGGCAACAGUUGGAAGUGUGCCUGGAAGAUAAACACAUGGAAUCGGCGAAUGUUUAGGCUAAGAGAGCGACUGCUAGGUGCCAGAUUGAGAAUGAAUGAUAAGAACGUGUGUUGUGUGUAGACAUGUAUACGAAACUCUGGAAUAUGUAUAAGCACCUUGGAUAAUGAAUUAAUGACAUACAUUCGUGCGAAGUUGCACGUGUGAGCGACGAAACAUGCGUCAUAGGAGUAAUUUUCAUGGAAGCACCAGCCAGAGGCGUUAUGAGAAGUGACGAAGAUAAAGCGUACAAUAAACGGGAGUUACCGUUAGCGAAGCGAGAGAGAGUUAGCGAAGCUAGAUCUUGUCAAACGAAAGCUGGAGUUGAGGAGAAGUCUCGCGUAUAUGUGUCAUUGAAAUUUGUACAUAUCUGUCUUAGAAUAAAUUUGUAAAACACUGUAAA